GAUUUAAUUAACUUUUUCAAAUGACUUUCGUUUUUUUUUUGGUCUUUCCUAUUUCAAUGUUUCAAACAGGUUGAAUGGACCCCCUAUUCUCGACUGCCACAAAAUUUCUUCCCUUCUCCAUAUAAUGAUCAAGUUUUCCUGGAGCGUGCUUUGACAUCACUUGUAUCUUUGGAGAAGGUAGUUCUCCAUAAUCCUGCGGUCUCGAAGGAAAAGAAGCUAUGUGCUUCUGAUGAUCUUCAACUUAAGGCGAAACAUAUCACUAAAAUUCACAAUAGACUUGAUCAAAGUCGUAGAGGCAGAAGUAGGGGAGGAAGUGGGCAAGACUGGCCCUUGGUACAUAAAGAUUUCAUAUCAGUCUGGUCUGAUCGUUGGGAGUGUUUGUAUAUUGCAGAUGGAGAAGAGGGAGGCUUGCAAAAUCAGGAGAACGCAGCUCCAGCAGAAGAGCAUGAUGGGGAAAUAGGAGCAGAUGAUUGUUAGCUCCCAGAGCAGCCCACAGUUGGACACCAGAUAUAGGCAGGUAUACAGCAGACGCACUCGGGGGAUUCCUUCCAAUGUAGAAC